GACGAAAGUCUGACGGAGCAACGCCGCGUGAGUGAAGAAGGUUUUCGGAUCGUAAAGCUCUGUCUUCAGGGACGAACGUGCUCUUUACAAAUAGUGAAGAGCAAUGACGGUACCUGAGGAGGAAGCCACGGCUAACUACGUGCCAGCAGCCGCGGUAAUACGUAGGUGGCAAGCGUUGUCCGGAAUUAUUGGGCGUAAAGAACGCGUAGGCGGGAUAUCAAGUCUGUUUUAAAAGUGCGGGGCUCAACUCCGUGAUGGAAUGGAAACUGAUAUUCUUGAGUGCAGGAGAGGAAAGUGGAAUUCCCAGUGUAGCGGUGAAAUGCGUAGAUAUUGGGAGGAACACCAGUGGCGAAGGCGACUUUCUGGACUGUGUCUGACGCUGAGGCGUGAAAGCCAGGGUAGUGAACGGGAUUAGAUACCCCGGUAAUCCUGGCCGUAAACGAUGGGUACUAGGUGUAGAGGGUAUCGACCCCUUCUGUGCCGGAGUUAACGCAAUAAGUACCCCGCCUGGGGAGUA
rnacentral:rRNA from 1 species